GGGGAGAUAUUGGUCCCGAGAAGUGCGGAACGUCAGCUCCGGGGGUUCGAAUCCCCCUCCCUCCG
rnacentral:tRNA from 1 species